AUUAAGUUUUGAAAUCAGGAAGUGUGAGUCCUCCAACUUUGUUCUUUUUCAAGAUUGUUUUGGCUAUUUGGGGUCACUUGCCAUUCCAUAUGAAGUUCAGGAUAGUCCUUUUUUUCUUUUUUUCUUUGAAGCAGGAUCUCACUCUGUCACCCAGGCUGGAGUGCCAUGGCACAAACUCAGCUCACUGCAGCUUCGACCUCAUGGGCUCAAGCGACCCUUCCAUCUCAGCUUCCUGAGUAGCUGGGACUACAGCUAGAAGAUCAGGUCAGGUUUGAGGCCUGAAAAUUCUGCUGGCAGAGAUGGAAACACAACACGUGCAUUUCUGCUGAGAACCAAAGCCUACGGUCUGCAGAGAGCAGGCAGAGAGAUUCAGCUGGACCAGGUAGGAAGGCCCAGGAUGGUGGAAUAGCCCCAGCUGGAAGAAACAAAUCUGGUGUUCCCUGACUCUGCACCACCCAAGUCAGGGUGGUUCAGUCCCCCAGCUUCGACAGAAGAACCACAUCACUCAGGCCCACAAUUCCCCAAACCACAGGAAGAGCAACCAGGUUUUAGGCCCUGGUGAUGGGACAGGUGGCCAUGAGGCCUCCUGUGUAAACCUGGAACUUGGGAAGAGGCCUUGGAGCAACCGGCUACACCCAGAAGCUCCCACCCCAGCUCACGGGUGAAGGGCCAGUGGAACAGGAGAAGCUCCCACCCCAGCUCACGGGGGAAGGGCCAGUGGAACAGGGAUGUGUUCUUCCUACAGAAAGCCUUGUGACUUCCUGCCCUUUCAGUAAAGGCUUUUGUGCAUUCUACUGGAAUGUCAGGUAUCAAACCACUACCGCCACCGCAUAGCCCUUGCCCGCCUGCAGUCGGCCUUCUGGUCCGUCUGACGCAGUCGAACUCUGCAGCGUUCACCUUGCUUCCUAUCUUGUUUUGCUUCCAACUUUCCAUUACAAAAAACUUCCAACAUAGAGAAUAUUAACAACUACUUCCGACCGGGCGCGGUGGCUCACACCUGUAAUCCCAGCACUUUCGGAGGCUAAGGAGGGUGGAU
rnacentral:lncRNA from 1 species